GUUUUUAGGGUGAGGGGCAGGUCCUGUACAGUGAUCAUGUGACUGUGUUGGGGCAGUUUUUAGGGUGAGGGGCAGGUCCUGUACAGUGAUCAUGUGACUGUGUUGGGGCAGUUUUUAGGGUGAGGGGCAAGUCCUGUACAGUGAUCAUGUGACUGUGUUGGGGCAGUUAUCAGGGUGAGGGGCAGGUCCUGUACAGUGAUCAUGUGACUGUGUUGGGGCAGUUUUUAGGGUGAGGGGCAGGUCCUCUACAGUGAUCACCUGCCCCACUCUUCCUCUUCCCCAUGGAUCCCAUCGACGCCCUGUAUCAGAAGUGAGACAAUUGUAACGAACCUCCAGCAGUAAGAAGAGCGUCUUCCAUUCACUGACUGCAGAGAUCAUAGACGGGCUCUGAGAGACCUGAGAAUGUCUUCCACCGAUGGUCCCAUCCAACCUGACAGCUGAGAGGGUCUACAGAGAAGAACGGACGAAAAUCCCCAAAUCCUGGUGUAAACCUUGUGGCCUCAUCCCCAAGAAGACUGGAGGCUGGAAUGGCUGCCAAAGGCCUGGAAUUUGAUCUGGAGAUCUCCUCCAUAAUGGCCGAGCAGGACGCGGAUCUUCACAUACAGCCGCCAUAUUGCGGUAUUGACAGUCUGAAGUUUGUACCUGUUCACAUUGGUUUCCUCCAGACGCUCUUCAGUCCUGAUCAUCUGGAUCCCAUAAAAUUGUCCCUGCAGUGUACGUGAAAUUGGUGACCUA